rnacentral:rRNA from 1 species
UACGUAGGUGGCAAGCGUUGUCCGGAUUUACUGGGCGUAAAGGGCUUGUAGGUGGCCAACUAAGUCAGACGUGAAAUCCCUCGGCUUAACCGGGGAACUGCGUCUGAUACUGGAUGGCUUGAGUGUGGGAGAGGGAUGCGGAAUUCCAGGUGUAGCGGUGAAAUGCGUAGAUAUCUGGAGGAACACCGGUGGCGAAGGCGGCAUCCUGGACCAUUACUGACACUGAAAAGCGAAAGCCAGGGGAGCAAACGGG